UGGGGAAUCUUCCGCAAUGGACGAAAGUCUGACGGAGCAACGCCGCGUGAGUGAAGACGGCCUUCGGGUUGUAAAGCUCUGUGAUUCGGGACGAAAGGCCAUAUGUGAAUAAUAUAUGGAAAUGACGGUACCGAAAAAGCAAGCCACGGCUAACUACGUGCCAGCAGCCGCGGUAAUACGUAGGUGGCAAGCGUUGUCCGGAAUUAUUGGGCGUAAAGCGCGCGCAGGCGGUCACUUAAGUCCAUCUUAGAAGUGCGGGGCUUAACCCCGUGUUGAUAUGGAAACUGGGUGACUGGAGUAUCGGAGAGGAAAGUGGAAUUCCUAGUGUAGCGGUGAAAUGCGUAGAUAUUAGGAAGAACACCGGUGGCGAAGGCGACUUUCUGGACGAAAACUGACGCUGAGGCGCGAAAGCGUGGGGAGCAAACAGG
rnacentral:rRNA from 1 species